UACGUAGGGGGCGAGCGUUGUCCGGAAUCAUUGGGCGUAAAGAGCGUGUAGGCGGUUCGGUAAGUCUGCCGUGAAAACCUGGGGCUCAACCCUGGGCGUGCGGUGGAAACUGUCGAGCUAGAGGAUGGUAGAGGGGAGUGGAAUUCCCGGUGUAGCGGUGAAAUGCGCAGAUAUCGGGAGGAACACCGAUGGCGAAGGCAGGUCUCUGGGCCACUACUGACGCUGAGAAGCGAAAGCAUGGGGAAGCGAACGAGG
rnacentral:rRNA from 1 species